UAUUGACAUAGUUUCAAUGAACUUUUGUCUUUGCAUUGCAUGAUUAUAGCUGAUCAGACUUUAGCUCUAGCAAGAUUAAUUUGCCUCAGACUUUUUGCAAUAUUUAUAAAGCUGCGUGUGAGGUAAAUUAAUCUUGCUAACAGUCUGAGUCUGAGUAUUAGCAAGAUUAAUAUCUACCUCAGACUAUUAGCUGAUCAGAGUUGAGUAUAAGCUGAUCCUGUGCUCAGGUGCUCAGGUGUACUCUUUUUGUGCUCUUUCAGGUGCUUUUAUUAAUCGUUAUAUAUACUGCCUGAUGCAAGUGUGCUAUAUGUAUUACCUUUUGACUCAGUCUGGCUUAGGUCAGUCCAGUAAAUAUGAAGUUAAUGCUGAAUGUCCUGUGCUCCAAACCCAAACUUAGUGAAUACUGAAUCUUUACUUUGCUUGAUCUGAUUAUUUGAAGGCCUAGGUCCUGUAAAAAUACUACGUAGUAUCAUCUAGGGUAAAUCAUUUCUCUUUAUAUCCAGAAUAGAUGAUUUAUUACCUAUAUCUUUGAAGGCAACUUCAUGUGCAACAACUGUUAUACUAAGCCGCAAGCUGUUUGCAAUUUCAAGGACCUUUAGCUGAGCACAAAUUGGAUCCACUUUUGUAUAGAAGGAAUCAGACAAAAUGAAUGGAAAAUUACUUAGAUUGCAUCCAUGAUCUCAGACAAAAUGAAUGGAAGCAAGAUCUAGAUGGCAGAAUAUGAGAAACUUAGACAAAAAAUUAUAGAACAAAAUAGAAUCAGGAUGAAGGAUUUAGGGGUUACAUCCAUGGCUUAUGAAAUGAAAUAGUCGAUGAAGGGAUCGAAACAAACGAAAAAAAGGAAGAAGGUGACUAAAGAUACUGACGAGUAUACACCUGAUGAAGAGGGUGAACUGAACCACUCAAGUGAAGAGGAUGAAAAUGGGAGAAGGAAAACUGGUGUAAACAUGAGGUCUCGUUCAAAGAAGGUUGUGGCAUUGAGAGGGAAGAUAACCACAAACAUUAAGGACACGGCAGGUGUCUCUUUGACUAAGAUGCGUCUUCAAAACACCGAGAGACAACACUUAGAUCACAUGGCUAGUUAAUUUCAGGUUGUGGCAUUGAGAGGAAAGUGAUUUAUUACUACGAUGACAACUACAACCUAUUAACAUGGCUAGUUCACAAGUGCAUUUAGGGAGUUCACAAGCACAAAGUUUUUCUCAACCACAAAGAUUUGGACAUGACUUACAGCAAAAUUAUGAGAAUCAUAUGGGUUCUUAAAGCCCUAUAAAGACCAAAUUGUGAAAGAAAUUGUAACAGAAUUAAUGAAGACGCUCAAGCAAAUUGAUCCUAAAGUGUUGGAUACUUUGACUCGAUCACUUGAAAAUGUGUCAUCCAAUCCAGAACUUACAUAUCAUAUUCCCAUUGUACACUCUAAUGAACAACAGCGAAAUGAGGAUCCAGUGGAUCAAGAUGAAGAAUUAGGAUGGCAAUUGAUGAUGCUACAAGAACUUACUUUUACCGCUGUUUUGUUGUUGCUACCGCUGUUUUGCUGCUGUUUUUUGCUGUUACUUCUGUUUUUUCGCUGCUACUGUUGCUGACUCUUGCUACUUCGGUUAGCUGUCACUACUCUCUGCUACUGCUGGUUGCUGCCAACUGCUGUCUGCUAUUGCUGGAAGCUGCCACUCCUGUCUGCUAAUGCUGGUUGAUGCUAAAGACUGCGGCUAGCAGCUUCUGUUACUGCUUUUGCCAUUUUGCUAGCUACGUAGCUGCUGCCAUUCUACUAGCUAGCUGUGUAGCUGCUGCUAUACGCUGUUAUUAAUAUUAUUUACUGUUAUCGCUGACUUUUUUGAAAUUUGGAAGUUUUUUGUUUUUCCUUACUUUUUCCAAGCUAGAGAUCGAACUUAAUUUUCUUUGUGUUUGGAUUAUUAUAUUGUUUGGCCAAACAUUAAAAUUGGUGUUUAUGGAUUUUUUUUUGUAAGAAUUAUGAAAGUAUUUCAAUCCAAAUUGUUUUCUAUUA